AUGUACAUAUACAUGAGUCAAAAUAAACAAACAAGAGGGAGCCUUCACAAAGGUUGCUUAGGAGAAGUCUCAGCAGUGAUAGGAGCAUAUUUAUGCGACUUAGUUAGCUUGUUCUUGUGCAUUUACGUUGUAUUUCCUUAGUUAUUUUAGUGUUUAAAGUUAUUUUUGUGUGUUUUCAGACUCUAAGUACAAAGUAUGCAAGAAGAUGCAUUUUGGAGGCCUUUGGAGCAUGUUUCGGGCUUGGAAUGGAUAGCAAAUGCAUGGGCCAAGUGGAUGGACGAAUUUGAGAACUAAAGAGGCCAAGAAUAUGAAGAAUUAUGGUCCAAAAGAUGAAGAAAACAGCCCAAAAAUCUGUCACCCCAACUUGCAUUCCUUGCCAUGCAAACCACAUAGAAUUCCCUUUGGAUUCCAUGCCAUGCUUGAUCACUCUUGUCCCCUACAUAAUUUCUAAUUUCAUGCUUCAAUUCAUUUAAUUAUUACACUCAAUUGCUUGAUACCUCUUGUUCCCUUCACUCAUUAGAUUUUAGACAAACAUUUACAUCCAUUACAUGCACCAAUUGAUGCUCCAUCAUUCACAUUUGGAAUCCAAUGCCAUGUGCAACACAUGUUGUUGCACCUUUGACCCAUUUGUUGACACAUUUCACCUCCUUUUCCAUCUCUAUGCAAUGUACACAAUCAUUCAUGCUCCCUAGCUACAACACCACUCCAUUUUACCCUUCACACUUUGCAUCAUUACUUCAUUUUCACCCUUGGACCAUUGCACACCACACACACAAAUUGCCAUGCAUUUCAUCCUUAACCUAACCUUAUUUUCUAAGGUUUUUGGGGCCUAUAAAUACAUGUUUACACCCCUUGGCCAAAGGACAAUCCCCCAUAUUCAUCAUUUUAUCACAAAAAUUCGUCCAUACACACCCUAGGAAGCAAAACACCCCAAAAACACCAUUCUAGUGCCUAGAAAACAUAACAACCACUCCACCUUCUUCCACCCUCUUUGCCUAGUUCUCCACCACCCUCCAACCCUCAAACACUCCUCCACACUUACCCUAAACCUUUCCAUACCAUUCCCCAUCCAUUCUACACCAUAAAAACCACCCAAAACCGUCCAAAACCUCUAGUGCCGCUGCUUGCAAGGAAGGAAAGGGAAGGAACAUCUUGUGCCGUGCCUAUGCCCAAGCCUUGGGAGUGUUGGAGCGUUUCUAGGUGUUUUCUAUCUUUGUUUUUAAUGUCUAAAUUUAUGCAUCUUUGCUUUGUAAGUAUGAGGAACUAAACCCCUCUUAGUUAGGGGGUGAUUCGAAACUAUGUUCAUGCUUGCAAUAUGAUUUGAUUACAUCCAGUUGUGAUUCAUAAGUUGUGAAUUCAAUUUACUUAUCCGUUCAUAUAAAAACUAAUUUGUGUAUGUUGGUUAAGAGUGCACGCUUAAUUUUCAUGCAUGAAUUUGACGCUAGAAUAUAAGGGAGUUUCACCUAAUCGUUAUAAACUUAUAUUCACAAGUAGUGAAGGUUGC
rnacentral:sRNA from 1 species